rnacentral:rRNA from 1 species
AGUGAACGCUGGCGGUAGGCCAACACAUGCAAGUCGAACGGCAGCACAGUAAGAGCUUGCUCUUACGGGUGGCGAGUGGCGGACGGGUGAGGAAUACAUCGGAAUCUACUUUUUCGUGGGGGAUAACGUAGGGAAACUUACGCUAAUACCGCAUACGACCUACGGGUGAAAGCAGGGGAUCUUCGGACCUUGCGCGAUUGAAUGAGCCGAUGUCGGAUUAGCUAGUUGGCGGGGUAAGGGCCCACCAAGGCGACGAUCCGUAGCUGGUCUGAGAGGAUGAUCAGCCACACUGGAACUGAGACACGGUCCAGACUCCUACGGGAGGCAGCAGUGGGGAAUAUUGGACAAUGGGCGCAAGCCUGAUCCAGCCAUACCGCGUGGGUGAAGAAGGCCUUCGGGUUGUAAAGCCCUUUUGUUGGGAAAGAAAAGCAGCAGGUUAAUACCCCGCUGUUCUGACGGUACCCAAAGAAUAAGCACCGGCUAACUUCGUG